UAGUCCACGCCGUAAACGAUGAUUACUCGCUGUAGGCGAUACACAGUCUGUGGCUAAGCGAAAGUUUUAAGUAAUCCACCUGGGGAGUACGAUCGCAAGAUUGAAACUCAAAGAAAUUGACGGGGGCCCGCACAAGCGGUGGAGCAUGUGGUUUAAUUCGAUGAUACGCGAGGAACCUUACCAGGGCUUAAAUGUAAGUUGCAUUAGCUAGAGAUAGUUAUUUCUUCGGACUACUUACAAGGUGCUGCAUGGUUGUCGUCAGCUCGUGCCGUGAGGUGUCAGGUUAAGUCCUAUAACGAGCGCAACCCCUGUUGUUAGUUGCCAGCGAUUCAAGUCGGGAACUCUAACAAGACUGCCAGUGCAAACUGUGAGGAAGGUGGGGAUGACGUCAAAUCAUCACGGCCCUUACGUCCUGGGCUACACACGUGCUACAAUGGUAGGGACAGAGAGCAGCCACUUCGCGAGAAGGAGCGAAUCUAUAAACCCUAUCACAGUUCGGAUCGG
rnacentral:rRNA from 1 species